GUGAGGAAUAUUGGUCAAUGGUCGCAAGACUGAACCAGCCAUGCCGCGUGCAGGAAGACGGUCCUAUGGAUUGUAAACUGCUUUUAUACAGGAAGAAACCCUCCCACGUGUGGGAGCUUGACGGUACUGUAGGAAUAAGGAUCGGCUAACUCCGUGCCAGCAGCCGCGGUAAUACGGAGGAUCCAAGCGUUAUCCGGAAUCAUUGGGUUUAAAGGGUCCGUAGGCGGUCUUAUAAGUCAGUGGUGAAAGCCCAUCGCUCAACGAUGGAACUGCCAUUGAUACUGUAGGACUUGAAUGCUUAGGAAGUAACUAGAAUAUGUAGUGUAGCGGUGAAAUGCUUAGAUAUUACAUGGAAUACCAAUUGCGAAGGCAGGUUACUACUAAGUGAUUGACGCUGAUGGACGAAAGCGUGGGGAGCGAACAGGAUUAGAUACCCUGGUAGUCC
rnacentral:rRNA from 1 species